rnacentral:rRNA from 1 species
GAUGAACGCUGGCGGCGUGCUUAACACAUGCAAGUCGAACGGUAAGGCCCUUCGGGGUACACGAGUGGCGAACGGGUGAGUAACACGUGGGUGAUCUGCCCUGCACUUCGGGAUAAGCCUGGGAAACUGGGUCUAAUACCGGAUAGGACCACUGCCUGCAUGGGUGGUGGUGGAAAGCUUUUGCGGUGUGGGAUGGGCCCGCGGCCUAUCAGCUUGUUGGUGGGGUGAUGGCCUACCAAGGCGACGACGGGUAGCCGGCCUGAGAGGGUGACCGGCCACACUGGGACUGGGAGACGGCCCAGACUCCUACGGGAGGCAGCAGUGGGGAAUAUUGCACAAUGGGCGCAAGCCUGAUGCAGCGACGCCGCGUGAGGGAUGACGGCCUUCGGGUUGUAAACCUCUUUCAGCACCGACGAAGCGCAAAUGACGGUAGGUGCAGAAGAAGGACCGGCCAACUACGUGCCAGCCGCCGCAGUAA